rnacentral:rRNA from 1 species
AGUGAACGCUGGCGGUAGGCCUAACACAUGCAAGUCGAACGGCAGCACCGUAAGAGCUUGCUCUUACGGGUGGCGAGUGGCGGACGGGUGAGGAAUACAUCUGAAUCUACUUUUUCGUGGGGGAUAACGUAGGUAAACUUACGCUAAUACCGCAUACGACCUACGGGUGAAAGCAGGGGAUCUUCGGACCUUGCGCGAUUGAAUGAGCCGCUGUCGGAUUAGCUAGUUGGCGGGGUAAAGGCCCACCAAGGCGACGAUCCGUAGCUGGUCUGAGAGGAUGAUCAGCCACACGGGAAGUGAGACACGGUCCAGACGCCUACGGGAGGCAGCAGUGGGGAAUAUUGGACAAUGGGCGCAAGCCUGAUCCAGCCAGACCGCGUGGGUGAAGAAGGCCUUCGGGUUGUAAAGCCCUUUUGUUGGGAAAGAAAAGCAGCAGGUUAAUACCCCGCGGUUCUGACGGUACCCAAAGAAUAAGCACCGGCUAACUUCGUG